UCCUCUGCCGGCACACCCCCGCGCCUCCCUCGCUCCACUACAGCCGCCGCGCCUCCCUCUCCUCCAUUCUCUCUUCUCCCUCAUUCACCACAGUCACAGCCCCAGGAGCUCCGCCGUCCCCGUCGAGGAGAUCCAUGGCCUCCAGAGGUGCUCAUUUGCCCAGGUCGCGAGGAAGCCGGGGGAGGAGGAGACCUCGUCGCUAGGGAGCUGCGAGAGGAGGAUCUCAACCCAAGAGCAGAGGAUGCCAGCCAGGGAGUCGUCUUGGCUCGACGUGGUCCUUCGCAUCUUGAACCUAGCGCCGCAGGCGGUGGCGCAGCACACGGCGGCCUCAGCGGGUGGGUGACGGCGGCUGCAGCUGGUGCAUGACCUCGCAUCCUGGGUGAAGCUCGAUUAGCUCGCGUCUUCAUGGCCUUCAGGUGCGCAGGUUAUUCCAUCUUGCUGAUUUCGUGCAGAAUCUCCGUUUAGCUCGUCGCCGCGUCUCCAUUCUGCUCAUUGGGCCUCGUCAAGGUUUGCUUCUGUGAUCUCUGCCUGUCUUGCUGCUCUACUUUCUGUGUGUGCUUUCAUGUUCUAUAGCCUCCUAAUUUUUUCAGUGUAUGUUCCAGACAUGGCCGGGUGUCGUGUACUUUAUUAUAUAUUUCGUUCUUUCAUGUCAGAAGGACGUGUGCGUUUGUUUCGGUUGUUAUUCCUAUUUUGGAGGCUGUGGUGGCCGAAUGCGCCUUGCCAUCCCUUCUGUACCUGUGUGAGGUCGCAGAAGAUGCUCUAUCCUUGCUGGGGUGGAGCUUGAGCUUCCUGGGGAUGGUUCUGGUCCAGUGCCUCGGCGGGAGUUUUUUGGAGCUCGGCCUGGUCUGGGUUCACGAACGCUUAUGAACAAGCUGGUUUACAAGCCAUACGUUUUUUACAAGGUCUAUAUGGAUUUGUCGUCCAUGACUAUAACUACGGCUGUAUGAUGGCCUGUAGGAGAUAUGCGCGUUCAUCCAUAAUUAUUGCGGUCUCUGCUGUUCAACACGUUAUGCGCCUAGAGAGAGAGGGUUGCUUCACUUGCGGUCUGCGCCUACCGAUGCGGCUAUUGUUCCGUCUUUUUGUACUGCUUCAAGUGGUACUGCAUUUAACUUUGCUCUCGACAUGGUGCCCUUUUGUGAUUUGUCUUCUUCUUUUUGUACUGCUUCAAGUGGUACUGUAUUUAACCUUGUUCUAAAAUUUGAAGUUAGUUACUUUUAAGUUAAUAAGUAUACAGAUUAAUUGAAGCACAUCUGACUGUUAUUUUAUCCUGAGUGGCUUAAUAGUGGUGGUGGUUCUGAAGCCUACCCAGUACUAUGAAUCAGUAUGGUGAUUCUACCAAGUGGUGCUCUAAUAUUCACUUAUUCAGUUAUUUUCUGGAAUGUACUCUUUCUGCUUCCUAUUGUGAGCUAUUUCUUUCGUCUGCUAUUUUCUUCCUUCUGUAAUUUUCUUUCUUUCUUUGGUGCUGCUUGAAGUGAUACUUUGAUAUUCAACUUUUUUCUCAAAUUACAAGUCAGUCACUUUUAAGUUUGAGUAUACAGAUUGAUUGAAGCACAGCUGAAUGCCAUUUUAUCCUCUGUGGCAUAAUGAUGGUAGCGAUUUGAAGCCAACCCAGGACUAUUAGUGAUUCUGACAAGUGGUGCUCUAAUAUUCAGUUGUUUUCUGAAACUAAAAGUUGGUUAGUUUUUGAGUUUGAGUACAAGAAGUGGUGUUCUAAUAUAUUAUUGUUUUAUGAAAUUAGAAGUUAUUUCUUUUUACACCCAACAAAACUUGAGGCCUACGUGAACUGGCGCCCAACAAAACAGGCAAUAUUCAUUGAAUGUUGUAACAUAUUUACUACUGGAUUCAAUUUUAAAUCAGAAAUAAAAGCCGUUCAAGUUUCAGACAGUAUAUGAUGUGGCAUGUGCAUGCUUUACAGUUACCUUGCAUGUCUCGUGAUGUUGCAUAGAUAUUUCUAUAUCUAUAUGAAUGUCAGACCCUGCGUGAUUGAUCAUAUUUUAUUCCUAUGUGAGAACUAGCUCUCCUUUAGUAAUGAAGUACUUUAUACUAAACUGAACUGGGAAUGGUUUGAUUUUGCUCUGUAGGACAGUGUUAUUUCUUCUCAUAGAAUGUUGUCAUCUAUAUCUUGCUGAAUGUACAUAACUAUAUUUUUGCAUGAUAGUAUGUUUUUGCUAUGCCAGUCAUAUAAGUUAUUUAUUUUCUACAUGUUGUUACAUAUACAAAGAGGAUUCCAGCAGCAAAACUUUAUGGUCAGCUUGAAUGGAAGGUAGUCCAAGAGCUUUAUGAUGUUGAUUUCUUUACAAACAUUAUGGGUAGUGGACUUCAUUUUGAUUGGCGACACAUUCCUAAUUUACUACUCAUUUUGUAGCUGUACAAAAAAAUGCCUAGGCGUGCAAGUUUUAUGUGAAAAUGAUGCACCGGCCGUCUUUUGGAAGAAUGGGAAAAUCACAUGGCUGUCGGAUUGCAAGCACAUAGGGCAUUGCUUAUGUGGCGUACAGUUCAUAAAAACUUCCUGAAUUGAGUAUUUAUUUUUAGUUCUAUGCUUUGUUAGAGUACUAGAGCUAGAGGUGCUAAAAUCCUAGAUGAUGCUAGAUGGUGUAAUGGCAUUAGUGCCGAAUUAUAUUACAAAAUGUACAAAUUGGAUAAGUAUAACAAAUCUAUUAGAUUUCUGUUAGAUUUGUAUGUUUUUAUUCAUAACCAUCAGUCUACAAUCACCAGUCUACAAUCACCACUCUGCUCUGCCUUUCACUUUGCAGCCCUCGCUCAGGUCUUACUCUAGCUCUCUUCUAGAGUGGUUGUGACCCCACCGCGCGCAAGGUAUUCACCAAGAACCAGAAGGUUUUGGACACCAUGGGUAUGGCUACAUUCGUGGAUGUAGGAAAUUUGCGGCCAUUUCAAUUAAGCCUUUUUUACACCUACUGGAUGCUAAGGGCUGCAAGAAAUAAAAUAGUAUGUUGCAUUUUGCCUACAGGCAAGGAAACAUGUACCUUAUUUCUGCAAAGAUGUGCUCUACUUUUUUAUUCUAUGAGUAUUUGCAUUCCCUGUAGAAGCUGACUGGUUACAUUUAUGUUUAGUACACCAUCAUAAUCUCCCAAAUACUGCACUCAUUUAUACUUUCCCGCCCAUAUUUAAAAUUGCGUGUUUUAGUUCUGAUUACAGCCAUAUAGGUAUUCAUGUAUAAGAUCGUUUGCCUCCAGUUCUGGUUAAAUCAACUUGGAUGAUCAAUCAAAUUUCCAGUGAUGAUACUCUAGCGGAUCAGGCUUCUAAACCACUAUCACUUUCCUGAUGGAAGUUGUGCAUGUAGUACAUGUUUUCAGUUCAGCAAGCUCUUUUUUAGUUAGAGAUCGAUUUUGAAGACUAACAUGUCAUAUGAAUGCUCCCAGCUUAGCAAAAGCCUUGAUCUUUCCAAUUUUGUAAUUUGAGGGAAUACUUUGCUACUUCAAAAUCUCUAGAUAAAAGUUGAAGAAUUCAUACGAUAGUCGAUUGGAAACAUAUAUCUAGCAGUUCUUUUUUUUUUUCAUGCGCACAAUGGGAUAAAUUGAUGUAACACAAGCCUUUACAAUUUAGUGCUAUUGUUAUUAGAAUAGGGAGACUUGCUUUGUUACCAUACUUAGAUUUGCCGAUUGUUUACUAUAGUACUCCCUCCGUUCCUAAAUGUAAGUCUUUUUAGACAUUUCAAA